AUAUUGAUUUGGCAGAUUAGUGCAUUAAAUUUAGAAUUUAAAUAUGUAUAUUUUACAUUCAAUA
rnacentral:tRNA from 1 species